AUUGAACGCUGGCGGCAGGCCUAACACAUGCAAGUCGAGCGGAUGAGGGAAGCUUGCCUCCCGAUUUAGCGGCGGACGGGUGAGUAAUGCCUAGGAAUCUGCCUAUUAGUGGGGGAUGACGUUCCGAAAGGAACGCUAAUACCGCAUACGUCCUACGGGAGAAAGUGGGGGAUCUUCGGACCUCACGCUAAUAGAUGAGCCUAGGUCGGAUUAGCUAGUUGGUGAGGUAACGGCUCACCAAGGCGACGAUCCGUAGCUGGUCUGAGAGGGUGAUCAGCCACACUGGAACUGAGACACGGUCCAGACUCCUACGGGAGGCAGCAGUGGGGAAUAUUGGACAAUGGGCGAAAGCCUGAUCCAGCCAUGCCGCGUGUGUGAAGAAGGUCUUCGGAUUGUAAAGCACUUUAAGUUGGGAGGAAGAGUUGUAAGCUAAUAUCUUGCAGCUUUGACGUUACCAACAGAAUAAGCACCGGCUAACUCUGUGCCAGCAGCCGCUGUAACAC
rnacentral:rRNA from 1 species